rfam:Planctomycetes bacterium RIFCSPHIGHO2_12_39_6 rifcsphigho2_12_sub10_scaffold_39411, whole genome shotgun sequence.
GUCUUAUCUAGAGUGGCAGAGGGACUGGCCCUAUGAAGCCACAGCAACCGGUCUUGUCCAGCGCAUGUGCUGAACGAGAUGCAGGUGCUAAUUCCUGUCUCAUACAUUGGGAAAAGAUAAGAU